GCAGUCAGUCCACAUAAAACCCACCAGGGCUACAUUCACUUCCAGCUAACUUCACAGAGAACAACGAGGGCAGAACAGCAUCACCGAUCUUUUAAGCUUCAGAAACC